rnacentral:lncRNA from 11 species
UCUAGAGGAGGGCAUACAGAAAUGGAUCCAAACUGCAGAAAAUGGGAUUCUACCUGCAUACUGAAAACUUCCAGAUGGGGGAGGAGAGGACUCCGCAGCAGGUGCUGAUGGCCAACAUCCCAG